GAUGAAGAACGUAGCGAAAUGCGAUACGUAAUGUGAAUUGCAGAAUUCAGUGAAUCAUCGAGUCUUUGAACGCACAUUGCGCCCGCCAGUAUUCUGGCGGGCAUGCCUGUCCGAGCGUCAUUUCAACCAUCAAGCCCCGGGCUUGUGUUGGGGACCUGCGUCCGACGCAGGCCCUGAAAACCAGUGGCGGGCUCGCUGUCCACACCGAGCGUAGUAACUAACCUCGCUAUGGAGUGGCGCGGGCGCCUGCCGUAAAACCCCCAAUUUCACAAGGUUGACCUCGGAUCAGGUAGGAAUACCCGCUGAACUUAAGCAUAUCAAUAAGCGGAGG
rnacentral:misc_RNA from 1 species